CGGGUGAGUAACACGUAUGCAACCUGCCUGCCACAGCCGGAUAAUCGGGAGAAAUUCCGUCUAAUACGGCAUAAUGCAUCGACGGGACAUCCUGUUGGUGCCAAAGGUUGAUUCCGGUGGCGGAUAGGCAUGCGUCGCAUUAGUUAGUUGGCGGUGUAACGGACCACCAAGACGACGAUGCGUAGGGGUUCUGAGAGGAAGGUCCCCCACACUGGUACUGAGACACGGACCAGACUCCUACGGAAGGCAGCAG
rnacentral:rRNA from 1 species